CCCCGCUCUUCCUCCAUGGCAUUAAUAUCCAUCCCAUUCCUGACUUCCACCCUACAGUGUGUCAGCUGUUUAUCAGAGUGUAUCAAGACACACAGACAGUAUACACAUCAGGAGUGCAGCAGGUUGCUGUAAAUCAGACAGACAGAGUGUGUUUUGUUCUGGAACCCCCACAGAUGCUCAAAGGCGAUUUCAUGAUUGCGUGUUAUCAUAAAAAUGAUUCCAUGAGGACUCAUGAGACAGUGUUUCGUGUGCAGUUCCACACUGGUGCUCUAUGUGGAGAGCAACUUUCCUUGCAGAAAAGCAGACCUUGAUCAUGCAAACAUAGACCCAAGAUUCCCAGAGGACGGUGUGUGGUGGAGGUGCUCUUUUCAGAAAUUGCCAACAGAGGCCCAUCCCUUGCUUCAGAUUGUGGCCACUGGAACCGUUCAGCAGUUGACAUUGAAAAUGACCCUCUGAAUUCACUACUCACUCAAUGGGACUUCACUGAAAAUCUUACAGCAGCUGCCAAGCAAAAAGAAGGCACACACUCUCUGAGCAGUGACUCUGGACUCUCCAGCUCCUCCCAGUGGACUGGAGGACAAGCCUCUGGGCUCCCAAUCAGCUACAGCUCUGAGGAGCAUCCCC